rnacentral:rRNA from 1 species
UACGUAGGGGGCAAGCGUUGUUCGGAAUCAUUGGGCGUAAAGCGCGUGUAGGCGGUUUGGUAAGUCGGGUGUGAAAUCCCUGGGCUCAACCGAGGAAGUGCAUUCGAAACUAACUGGCUAGAAGAUGGUAGAGGAAGGUGGAAUUCCAAGUGUAGAGGUGAAAUUCGUAGAUAUUUGGAGGAAUACCGGUGGCGAAGGCGGCCUUCUGGACCAUUCUUGACGCUGAGACGCGAAAGCGUGGGUAGCAAACAGG